GUCUACGGCCCACCCUGAACGCGCCCGAUCUCGUCUGAUCUCGGAAGCUAAGCAGGGUCGGGCCCCGGUUAGUACUUGGAUGGGAGACCGCCUGGGAAUACCGGGUGCUGUAGGCU
ensembl:rRNA 5S_rRNA 5S ribosomal RNA